UCGGACGUGGUGUACGGGCACGGCGGGUCCUCAUGAGAUAAAAAAAUUCAACCCGCAGGUUGGGGUUCGAUUCCCCUCGUCCGAA